UCCCAGCGAGGAAAUAUUCACAUGUCUUACCUCUUGUCCUAGUCCCAGAGCCUAUAAAGGUGAACACGUUAGGGCUGGCUGGGGGAAAAGAGGAAAGUUUGUUCCAGAAGGAACUAUCUGAGAGAU
ensembl:snoRNA SNORD22 Small nucleolar RNA SNORD22